UACGUAGGGCGCAAGCGUUGUCCGGAAUUAUUGGGCGUAAAGAGCUCGUAGGCGGCUUGUUGCGUCGGUUGUGAAAUCUCCGGGCUUAACCCGGAAAGGUCAACCGAUACUGCGGGGCUAGAGUGCAGAAGGGGCAACUGGAAUUCUCGGUGUAGCGGUGAAAUGCGUAGAUAUCGAGAGGAACACCUGCGGCGAAGGCGGGUUGCUGGGCUGACACUGACGCUGAGGCGCGAAAGCUAGGGGAGCAAACGGG
rnacentral:rRNA from 1 species